rnacentral:rRNA from 1 species
GACGAGGGAUCCUAGCGUUGUUCGGAAUUACUGGGCGUAAAGGGCUCGUAGGUUGCCAACUAAGUCGGACGUGAAAUCCCUCAGCUUAACUGGGGAACUGCGUCCGAUACUGGAUGGCUUGAGUUUGGGAGAGGGAUGCGGAAUUCCUGGUGUAGCGGUGGAAUGCGCAGAUAUCAGGAGGAACACCGGUGGCGAAGGCGGUUCUCUGGGCAUUACCUGACGCUGAGGAGCGAAAGUGUGGGGAGCGAACAGG